UCCAAGAAAACUAGUCGAGUAAUGGACCUGGUGGCGAGCAAGUUGAUUGCAUCUUAAAAGAGAUUGCUCAUUUGAAGAAUAAAGGAGUCACUGGUGAUCAUGUGGUCUUUUCGUUUGUAAGCCGUCGUAUCCAGCCUCUCCAGCUUCGAAAGCAUCCUGCCUUCAGAUAUAAAGGCACACAAGAUCCCACCAGAAUGUCACUAGAACCAAUGGCUCAGUCUGAAGUAGUCAGGAGAUGCUGCAAAGUACUCGACAACUUCGAUAAGUCUUUGAAAAAACCCUCCCGGAAAUGCAUGGGUUUGUGUUUGGGAAACACUGUCGAGUACUUUUAGUUAACAUUUUUGAUCUUCUAACAAAUUCUUUGCUUCUUUUGCAGAAAAAAUAUAAGUCAUGGUAUUGCAUGCCACCGAUUUCAAUAGAUGCUACUUCUGAUGGAUCAAGAAACAAAAGGCAACUCCUGGAUCUUUGUUGUAGAGAAAAAUUCCUUGUCUCGAUGCUGGCCAGAUCCAAUAUCUUCCAGCACAUGAGAAAAAUCAAAUCCAAGACUUUCGUAACUGGGUGCAGAGUGGUUCGGAAGGAACUAGUCGAUCGGCCCCCGAGUCUCCAGUAAUUGGGUUGAUCGAGAACCCAUCUGCUGGUUUGCCAAAUGUAGACACGGCUGAGAUAUCAAAUGUGCCAAACCCUUAAGCACCCGAACGUACUCCUGCAGCUGCUGAGGGUGCCUCCAAUGCUGAUGGAACUGGUAGUAGUGGAGCUCAAGGAUCAAGAGGUCCUGCCGUUCGACUGGUGCCCUUUCAAUCUAGGCCUCAGUCAACCCAGGAGGAGUUGGGAAAGGAAUUGUUUGGUGAUCCGUUGUUGUCCAUAGAUAAUGUAAAGAAGCUUGCUGACUAUAUGCAAUGGAGCUUCAAAUAUACCAAGGAGAGCCUUCUGCUGCUACUUGUCUUCUUCGAGUAGUUGGUGAUGUUUGACCAGUCUUGCCUUGUAUGUUACAGGACGUUGCCAAUCGGUCUUUUUUAAAGUCUCAAGCUUUGUAUAAGACUGUUGACAAUCGGAAAACCUUAGAGCAGUAGAACGCCCUGAUUGCCAAACGACUAGAUGAAUCACUUGCUGCUCGGAACAAGCUGUAUGAAGCAAACCGAAAGCAUCAUCUAGAAAUUUGUGAUAUGAAGCGGCAGAUCAAGGGCCUAGGAGAAGAAAGAUCAAAGCUCCAGGAAGAGAAUUCAAAGCUUCAAAAACAGUUGCAGAUUACUCAAGCUUGCUCUCCAGAUGACCAUACUCGACUGGUAGCAGCAGCUCAUGUCAUUGUGGACAUGGUUGAUUUUGAAGAGGGGUCGUCGAAUAGCAAAUCCUUGGAAGAACGUUUAGAAGAGGCUCCCAAGAAGAUCUUUGAUGUCAUGACGGCUACCUCCAAGAAUUAUCUGACCCACAUGAUAGGAGUUGUCAAAUCUUACUUGCCUCAGUUCAAUUUAGCUCCCAUAGCUAAAGGAAUAGCUCCCAAUUGUUCUGAUGAGAAAUUUCGGGACCAUUGUAAAGAAUCAGAAGUGAUUGCUGAUGAAAUUCUGAAGAACUUGGCAGAGUAAACUGUUUGUAACAACUCAUUGUCUUUGUAAACAUUGCUCUUAUCCCAUUGGUAUGUCUUCAGAAAUAUUAUCUGAUACCGUAGGAUAUGUACA